rnacentral:rRNA from 1 species
CGCGUAGGCGGUUUGUUAAGUCAGAUGUGAAAGCCCGGGGCUCAACCCCGGAAGUGCAUUUGAUACUGGCAGACUUGAGUAUGGGAGAGGGAAGUGGAAUUCCUGGUGUAGAGGUGAAAUUCGUAGAUAUCAGGAGGAACACCGGUGGCGAAGGCGACUUCCUGGACCAAUACUGACGCUGAGGCGCGAAGGCGUGGGGAGCAAACA